rnacentral:hammerhead_ribozyme from 1 species
AUCCAGCUGACGAGUCCCAAAAAGGACGAAAUGUGCAUCCUGGAU